AGCCACCUUCGGGUGGUGGACAGUGGCAGACGGGUGAGUAACGCGUGGGAACGUGCCUUUCGGUUCGGGAUAACCCAGGGAAACUUGGGCUAAUACCGGAUACGCCCUUCGGGGGAAAGAUUCAUUGCCGAAAGAUCGGCCCGCGUCGGAUUAGCUAGUUGGUAGGGUAAAAGCCUACCAAGGCGACGAUCCGUAGCUGGUCUGAGAGGAUGACCAGCCACACUGGGACUGAGACACGGCCCAGACUCCUACGGGAGGCAGCAGUGGGGAAUAUUGGACAAUGGGCGCAAGCCUGAUCCAGCCAUGCCGCGUGGGUGAAGAAGGCCUUAGGG
rnacentral:rRNA from 1 species